GGCAGGGCCCUGUGUAAGGAGUGAGGAGGUGGGAGAAUCCAGGCAGACACCUGUGUAGGGAGUGAGGAGCUGGAAGAGACCAGGCAGGGACCUGUGUAGGUCCUGAGGAGGUGGGAGAGGCCAGGCAGCGUCCUGUGUAGGGAGUGAGAAGGUGGGAGAGACCAGGCAGGGCCCUAUGUUGGGAGUGAGGAUGCGGGAGAGAAGAGGCAGAGAUGUGGGAGAGACCAGGCAAAGACCUGUGAAGGGACUGAGGAGGUGGGAGAGACCUGGCAGGGCCCAGUGUAGGGAGUGAGUAUCUUGGAGAGAAGAGGCAGAGACCUGUGUAGGGAUUGAGAAGAAGGAGAGACCAGGCCGGGCCCUGUGUAGGGAGUGAGGAGGUGGGAGAGGCCAGGCAGAGCCCUGUGUAGGGAGUGAGGUGUUAGGAGAGACCAGGCAGGGCCCUGUGUAGGGAGUGAUGAGGUGAGAGAGACCAGGUAGGACCCUGUGUACAGAGUGAGGAUGUGGAAGAGAACAGGCAAGGCUGUGUGUAGGAAGUAAGGUGGUGGAGAUACCAGUCAGGGACCUGUGUAGGGAUUGAGGAAGUGGGAGAGACCAGGCAGGACCCUGUGUAGGGAGUGAGGAGGUGAUAGAGAACAGGUAAGGCCCUGCAUACACAGUGAGGAGUUGGGAGAGACCACCCAGAUACCUGAGUAGGGAGUCAGGAUGUGGGAGAGAUCAGGCAGAGCCCUGUGUAGGAAGUGAGGUGUUAGGAGAGACCAGGCAGGGCCCUGUGUAGGGAGUGAGGAGGUGGGAGAGACCAGGUAGGACCCUGUGUACAGAGUGAGGAUGUGGAAGAGAACAGGCAAGGCUGUGUGUAGGAAGUAAGGUGGUGGAGAUACCAGUCAGGGACCUGUGUAGGGAUUGAGGAAGUGGGAGAGACCAGGCAGGACCCUGUGUAGGGAGUGAGGAGGUGAUAGAGAACAGGUAAGGCCCUGCAUACACAGUGAGGAGUUGGGAGAGACCACCCAGAUACCUGAGUAGGGAGUCAGGAUGUGGGAGAGAUCAGGCAGAGCCCUGUGUAGGAAGUGAGGUGUUAGGAGAGACCAGGCAGGGCCCUGUGUAGGGAGUGAGGAGGUGGGAGAGACCAGGUAGGACCCUGUGUACAGAGUGAGGAUGUGGAAGAGACCAGGCAGGUCUGUGUGUAGGGAGUAAGGAAGUGGAGAUGCCAGGCAGGGCCCUGUGUAGGGAGUGAGGAUGUAGGAGAGAUCAUCAGGGCCCUGUGCAGGAAGUGAGCAGAUGGGAUACACCAGGCAGGGCCCUGUAUAGGGAGUGAGGAGAUGGGAGAGAACAAGCACAGCCCUGUGUAGGAAGUGAGAAGAAGGGAGAUAACAGCCAGAAACACAGUGCAGGGACUGAGGAGGUGGGAGAGGUAAGGCAGAGCCCUGCGUAGGGAGUGAGGAGGUGGGAUUGACUAGGCAGGACCCUGGGUAGGGUGUGAGGAGGUGGGAGAUUCCAGGCAGGGCCCUUUGUAGGGAGUGAGGUGUUGGGAGAGACCAGGCAGAGUCCUGUGUAGGGAGUGAGGAUUUGGGAGAGACCAGGCAGGGCCCUGUGUAUGGCCUGAGGAGGUUAGAAAUACCAGGCAGGGCCCUGAGUAGGGAGUGAGGAAGUGGGAGAGAAGAGGCAGGGCCCUGUCUAGGGAUUGAAGAGGUGGGAGAGAACAGGCAGAGACCCUUGUAGGGAAUGGGGAGGUGGGAGAACCAUGCAGAGACCUGUGUAGGGAUGGAGAAGGUGCGAGGGACCAGUUAGGGCCCUGUGUGUGCAGUCAGGAUGUGAGAGAGAGGAGGCAGGGCCCUGUGUGAAUUGAGGAUGUGGGAGAGGCCAGUCAGGGCCCUGUUUAGGGAGUGAGGAGGUGGGAGAGAUCAUCAGGGCCCUGUAAAGGGAGUGAGGAGGUGAGAGAGGCCAGUCAGGGACCUGUGUAGGGAGUGAGGAGGUGGGAGAGACCAGGCAGAGACCUGCAUAGGGAGUGAGGAGGUGAGAGAGACCAGGUAGGAUGCUGUAUAAAGAGUGAGGAUGUAGGAGAGACUAGCCAGAGCCCUGUGCAGGGAGUAAGGAGGUGGAGAGACCAGGCAGGGUCCUGUUUAGGGAGUGAGGAGGUGGGAGAGAUCAUCAGGGCCCUGUAAAGGGAGUGAGGAGGUGGGAGAGACCACCCAGAUACCUGUGUAGGGACUGAGGAGGUGGGAGAGAAAAGACAGAGCCCUGUGUAGGGAGUGAGGAGGUGGGAGAUACCAGGCAGGGCCCUGUGUAGGGAGUGAGGAGGUGGCAGGGAGCAGUCAGAGACCU